rnacentral:rRNA from 1 species
GACGAACGCUGGCGGCGUGCUUAACACAUGCAAGUCGAACGGAAAGGCCCUGCUUGCAGGGUGCUCGAGUGGCGAACGGGUGAGUAACACGUGGGUGAUCUGCCCCUUACUUUGGGAUAAGCCUGGGAAACUGGGUCUAAUACUGGAUAGGACCAUGCUGUAGGUGGUGUGGUGGAAAGAUUAGUUUCGGUAAGGGAUGAGCUCGCGGCCUAUCAGCUUGUUGGUGGGGUAAUGGCCUACCAAGGCGUCGACGGGUAGCCGGCCUGAGAGGGUGGACGGCCACAUUGGGACUGAGAUACGGCCCAGACUCCUACGGGAGGCAGCAGUGGGGAAUAUUGCACAAUGGGCGCAAGCCUGAUGCAGCGACGCCGCGUGGGGGAUGACGGCCUUCGGGUUGUAAACUCCUUUCAGCCAUGACGAAGCCUUCGGGUGACGGUAGUGGUAGAAGAAGCGCCGGCUAACUACGUG